GUGCCAGCAGCCGCGGUAAUACCGGCAGCCCGAGUGAUGGCCGAUCUUAUUGGGCCUAAAGCGUCCGUAGCUGGCCGAGCAGGUCCGUCGGGAAAUCCACGUGCUCAACGCGUGGGCGUCCGGCGGAAACCACUCGGCUUGGGGCCGGAGGACUCGAGGGGUACGUCUGGGGUAGGAGUGAAAUCCUGUAAUCCUGGACGGACCACCAAUGGGGAAACCACCUCAGGAGAACGGACCCGACGGUGAGGGACGAAAGCUAGGGUCUCGAACCGGAUUAGAAACCCUAGUAGUCC
rnacentral:rRNA from 1 species